UGCCAGCCGCCGCGGUAAUACGGAGGGUGCAAGCGUUGUCCGGAAUCACUGGGUGUAAAGGGUGUGUAGGCGGGGUCGUAAGUCAGAGGUGAAAGCCUACAGCUUAACUGUAGAAUUGCCUUUGAUACUGCGUCUCUUGAGUCUCGGAGGGGUCACUGGAAUUCGUGGUGUAGCGGUGAAAUGCGUAGAUAUCACGAGGAACACCAGAGGCGUAGGCGGGUGACUGGACGAGUACUGACGCUGAGGCACGAAAGCGUGGGGAGCAAACAGGAUUAGAUA
rnacentral:rRNA from 1 species